UUUAUUUAAGUAAUUAAUUCAGUUUGUUUUUAUUAAUUUAUAAAAUAAUAAGAGAUGCGCUUUGAAAUAAUUUUGUAAUGAACCGGUCUCUGUUUCUUAUAAGAAUGUGUCGUUUAUAUAUUUAUACAAUAAAAAGACAUAUUUUAAUAGAUUGACUACGUGACUUCAACUUAUUGACCGUUAAUCCUUUACAUACCAAAAAAAUACAUUUUAUAUGUGUGAAUCUACAUAAGCGCAUUUUUAUAAAAAAUAAAAUAGCAAAAAAUAAUAAUGUUAAAUAAAUGAUGUUAAUCAAUUAGGAUUAGCGGCAACAGUUCCCUCCCCCGUAAACCAGUCAGGUGAGUCGAGUUUACUAUUCGAAGGGCCGCCAACAUCCAAUACUGCUAACUUUGCCACUGGUCGUUAUUGAAUGUUUUUUUUUUCAGAUUUCACUGUCGCUCUUCUAACUUGGCCAUCUUUCGCAAUCGCAACGUCCACUACUGCGCCUUUGGGCCAGCAAUUCCUCGGCAGUACUAGAUCCACAAUAAUGACUACAUCGCCUACUUUUAUAGGUGAUUAUUUUAUAACCCAUUUACUUCUUCGAGAGAUUAUGGGCACAUACUCUUUUGCCACCUACGCCAGAAUUGAUCAGCAAACUCUUGAGUCUUAUACCAUCGUUGUCGAAGAUCCAUGUUUCCAUCUGCAAUUGGUUUAUAGCCAUUUGAUGAGCCAUGCAAUAAGUGGUUGGGUGUAAUGGCUUCAUUGUCACCACAUUCAAUUAAAACAAACUUAUUUUGUUACUGUAUUCGUCAAUCUGCGCAUAUCUCAUUAAAAAUGCUUUUGUCUUUUCGAUCACGGCACAAUCGACUUCAAUUAGAAAAGUAUUCAAUUUUGAGUUUCAAUUACUAAUGUGCUGCGUUUCAUUUCUGUUUCAUUUACCAUUCCCAAGUCAUCGCAUUGUGGCCAUUCAUUAACAUCGGGGUGUAAAAAUUUGGGACCAUCAAACCACAUUUGUGUAUUUGACGGAGUUGGUACCUUGAUGGCAAGGUCGGCGGGAUUUUGUUUUGAUGGAACCCAUCUCCACUGGUUGACGUUUAUGUUCUUAAGAAUCUCGCCUACACGAUGCAUCACAAAUUGCUGAAACUUUUUUGGGUCUAUUUGUAACCACCUCAAAACCUUUUUUUGCAUCGCUCCACAAAAAAUGAGAGUAGCAUUUAUUCGCCUUACUUCUUGUACAGUUUUUGCAAGUCUCGUGCCAAGUAGAGCAGCUUGCAGCUUGAGCUUUGGAAUUGAGAGUGGUUUAAGUGGUGCAAAGUGGCUCUUGACUGCAACUAGAGAGACAGUUGUAACAUUGUUUUUCGUGAUGCGCAGAUAACAUAUGGCAGCAUAAGCGUUUUCGCUGGCAUCUACGAAAGUAUUCAGUUGGACUUCGUCUGCUGGGGAGUAGCAUCGAGGUAUUCUUAUGAACGUUAUUUGUUGAAUUGUGGACUUUCAACUGCACCAGCAUUUGUCUAAAGUGUCGCCUAUUGUGUAGCAGGACACAAAUCCAAGAGGAUCAAAUAUGGACAUCAGGACUUGUAGAGUUUCGCGCUUGGUCGGUGUCAAUGACUGAUUUAGUAUAUCACGGUGUAAUCUUGCAAAUCUGCAAUUAUAUCUAAUCAUCAUUAUUUGGGUCCCAAUACAAACCUAAUAUUUUAGUGGUUGAGCCCCAGUCUUUCAUCGAUUGCCCAGAUGGUGCGCUUCCAUGUAAUUCCUUUAAGACAACUUCUGACUUAGAUGUCCAAUUGUGCAUCUUGAAACCGCCGGCUUCAUGAAUUUCUCUCACGUGAAUCGCCAAUUCGCUGUCGAUAAAGUCGUCAACAUAAUGUCAACAUCAGGUGCGCAGCUGAUUCCAAAAGUUAAUUCUCUCAUUACAUAACUGCUUGGUUGGUGCAGUGUAUCUCCCUUGUCAUACCACAAAAAACCUUGAGCUUGCAUAUCGAUUUCUCUAACAUUCAUGAAAUAUCUUUGAGAUAUCUCCACAUAUGGAGGUUUUUCCAACACGAAAGUUAAAAAGAACGCUUACUAGUGGGUUUAAAAAAUCUGUGCCAGUCAGAAGAUAAUCAUUAAGUAAUGUACCGCUAGAUUUCGCCGCGGCGUCCCAAAUAAGCCUGACUUUAUUUUGUUUGCUUGGGUUUGAAACAACAAAUAUCGGCAAAUACCAGGUCUUUUUAUGAUGCACUUCUAGUUCUUUCGGGGUGAGUUUUUUAUGAUAAAAUGUUUUAGCUGAUUUUAACCAUAAUAUGAUAUUUUAAAAUUGUUACAAUAACCAUA